UGUUGAUAUAUUUCUUUGUUUUUAUAGUGAUUAAGAUUAUAACACAGUGCAUGUUGACUGAUGUAUCCCUAUUUUCAACAUGUUAACCUAUAAUGGCUGUUUGUUUUGUUCACACAUCGUUGUCAAUUUAAUGAAAUUCUAUGCGACUGUCAUACUAGUGCGAGGUUUAGCUAGCUAUAAAACAAGGUUUCAUCCACUAUUUUCUACAUUAGAAAAUGACUGUACCAAGUCAGGAAUAUAACAGUUGUUAUCCAUUC
rnacentral:lncRNA from 1 species